rnacentral:lncRNA from 1 species
GAAUCUUGGGCAUCCUAACCGAUGAGAACGCACUGACUCAUCCCACUGUCCACCUUGAGUUACAUUCUUCAUGUUCACAUCAGGCGAUAAUAGAGGUGCAUCUCGCAGAGGAAACCUUGUAGGAGAGCUGCCCAACAUGCCCUUGUCACGGUCUUGAGUUGGACCUACAGGAGCAGCAAUGACCGGGGUGGCAGUGAAACUACCCAAAUACUGUUCAAAGAGCCCUUGCAGCUCUGACUUGGUUUCUCCGCGAAUAUCUUCACUCAGC